rnacentral:misc_RNA from 1 species
CACAAUCAAACAGUGAUGAAUGUGAUUUAACCGACAUAAUUCUUGUAAAUUUUAUUCGAUAUUUGAUUGAAUCCCUUACGUUCAUACUAUCAAGAAAUAAUCUUUUGUCUAUUUAGAAUACUAACGAUUUUUCCCUUACGGCAAAACCCCUGGAAUGCAAAUGUGAAAAGCUUUGGAUUUUCUAUGAUAAAACGAUUAAAGAAUUAUAGUUAGGUUCCGUUACCGUUUCUAUUCCUUUGCUCAAUCCUUAAAUAUUUUAGGAAAUUAAAAUUUUUCAGCCAAUCUUCUUUUUUUUUCUAACUAAUGCGAAACUACAAAGUCGUUAGUAUCUUUUGCAAAAUUAUUGUUUUUUAUAAUAAAAUUAAGACACUCUUCCAAAAGGUAUUGGAAUAUAAAUUGGAGAUAGGGUAGACAUUUGUUAAUAAUUAUACAAUUUAGUUGUCGCUUAGAACCAGGAAAAAACCUUCAGCUUUCACUCGACUAAGUUGAUGAGGAACACUUAAAAAUAAAAUCAGUGAUACUUUUAC